GGACUUAUGGCUUAGUGGUUAGAGUGCUGCACCUAUGAACACAGGGUCUUUGGUUCAAUUCCCGCCAUUUGCA